GACGAACGCUGGCGGCGUGCUUAACACAUGCAAGUCGAACGAGUGGCGAACGGGUGAGUAACACGUGGGUGAACACCCCUGCACUUCGGGAAAAACCGGGGAAAAUGGGUCUAAAACCGGUUAGUGAGGGGUGCGUCCGGGGCUUAUUAGCUUGUGGGUGGGGUAAUGGUUACCAAGGCGCGAGGCGUAGCCGGCCUGGGAGGGUGGGCGGCCACAUUGGGACUGAGACACGGCCCAGACUCCUACGGGAGGCAGCAGUAGGGAAUAUUGCACAAUGGGCGCAAGCCUGAUGCAGCCAUGCCGCGUGUAUGAAGAAGGUCUUAGGGUCGUAAAGUUCGGAGACGUAGGAUUCGUUACCCACAGAAGAAGCACCGGCUAACUCCGUGCCAGCAGCCGCGGUAAUUC
rnacentral:rRNA from 1 species